rnacentral:rRNA from 1 species
UACGUAGGGGGCUAGCGUUGUUCGGAAUUACUGGGCGUAAAGCGCACGUAGGCGGCUUUGUAAGUCAGGGGUGAAAUCCCGGGGCUCAACCCCGGAACUGCCCUUGAAACUGGAAAGCUAGAAUCUUGGAGAGGCGAGUGGAAUUCCGAGUGUAGAGGUGAAAUUCGUAGAUAUUCGGAAGAACACCAGUGGCGAAGGCGACUCGCUGGACAAGUAUUGACGCUGAGGUGCGAAAGCGUGGGGAGCAAACAGG